AAGAGGGGUAAAGACCGUUCAGCGGCAGAGUUCAGACAUGAAGCUUGAUAUCCUUUUCCAAAAUCGCUAGCUAUAAUUGAAACAAUUUGCGAUGUGCCUGUUCUGCAGAUACUCACGCUUGCUUGUCCUCCCUUCCUGCAGCUUCGUGGGGCGGUGAGUGCUACAGCCCGGUUACGUGUUGUUGGGAAAGUAUGUGACUUAGCCUCUUUUUUAUUUGCCACGUCUCACAUUUUCCUGGCUGGCCCCUUUCUUCUCUAGAUCUGACAGGAGGAGGGACACAGGGAGCCAGUUUUACCUGCAGAUUUUCUUCACAGCAUCCCCUAAGUCGCUGCUGUCUCCAUGGCAACCCAAAGCAGACCACAUCUUUCCUUUGAGUCCGGGCUCGAGGCCACCCCGGAGGCAGAAUUCGCUCCAACGCCCGGGAGCUUCUCCCCAUACCGUACCGCGAUUUGAGAGCAACGACUCCCCAGGCAGGGCCCUCAGCCCUCCUGCCUCCCUGCCUGCCCCCUGCAAACGGUACGUGGCCGGGGGCAGGUCUGGUCUCCAGCUGCAGGCAGCAUGGAUGUGCAAAACCCCACGCGGUGGUGACCUUGCAGACCUCCUCUGAGCCUGUGCCCGCACCCUCGCAGCUUUGCCCGGCCGGACCGCGUGGCGACAAGGGAAGCCCCUGCCGCUUUGAGCGGGUUUGCUCUGUGCAUGCUCUUUGCUCCGGCGCUGCUGCUCACGUCUGCUCUGUGCAUUGCUUCCUCCUUCCAGGUAUCUGCGCCAAGGAGGAGGGAGAGGGUGCAAUUUCCUCCUGCGCCGGGAAGGCUGUGGCUGGUGCAAAGCCUGGUCACUUCCAAGCCUGCAGCAGGCCCUAGGUUUUACCAGGAGCUACAGGUUUCUUCUGCCUGAGGAAGCAGAGAGUGGACAGCGCAUUUCCCAGGAGAAAGGAAGCUGCUGAUGGCGAAGAUAAAAGUUUAUGAAGCACGGACCUGCCCAGGAGCAGACCGAAGCCAGUUCUCCCCAGCCUGGCGCCGCGUAGCCGAAGGCGAGGCCUGGAGGCUCCCUCCUGUCCUCUGAAGAAGCGACUGGGGAUACGAGCUUUCGGCAGACGCCGAGGUCAAAAGGAAGGAGCCGUCCUUCGCCCGGCGUCUUUGGAGAACGGCUCCUUGCAACGUGAGUACUUGUGGGCUGGAAAAGAAGUAAAUUACUAUCAAGAACGUCACAGAAUUGUGAAGCCUUUCCUUCGCCACAUGCUGAGACGACCUUCAGUUUUCAAGAUGAUGUGUCAAGAAGUUUGGGUCAAAGACUAUAAUCAGUAAGAGACGGGGGACAGGACUGAGCCCACCCAGCGAAGCAGGACCGUCGACGAGGCAGUUACCACCUUCUCCUGCGUGUGCACGUGGAAUGGUUCUGUAGAGAAAUACUGGAGCUUCCGCACAGAAAGGAGCCCCGCACUUCUGAAGAGAAGUUUUCAACGAAGGACUUAGAAUCUUUUAAAAAUGAGCUAAUUUCUAGUAUUCUUGGUUUUCUUACACAUGUAUAUAAUUGAUUAGGGGGACAGGACUGUGCAUGUCCAGCAAAGCUUUACCAGAGUCUUCUCUCUUAAAUGUUUGAGAUUGCGUGUUUUUGCUCUACUUGAAGAUGCUGAAGUUUCAGCAUAAGCAAAUGUUGCCCUUCCUCUCAGGGAGGAUGUUUGGUAAUGAUGUUCUCCUCUACGCAUAAUUAUUUUUCACAUGUAUAUUACGGUUUCUUAUUGAAAUACUCUCUUGUAUCUGUUUUUUAUGAUGUUUUGUUAACGUGUAUGUAGGUACCCAUGCAUCCCUUUGUCAUUUUGCAUAGGGGAUGCAGCCUUAGGCCUAAAAAUAAAACACUCUGGGCCUGAGGCUCUUGCCAAUUUUUUUACGAAUAGGAAACGCCCGGGCGGAACCUA